AGAAUAGACUACCCGGGUAGUCCGCGCCCUAAACGAUGCGAACUGGAUGUUGGGUACAUUACGGUACUCAGUGUCGAAGCUAACGCGUUAAGUUCGCCGCCUGGGGAGUACGGUCGCAAGACUGAAACUCAAAGGAAUUGACGGGGGCCCGCACAAGCGGUGGAGUAUGUGGUUUAAUUCGAUGCAACGCGAAGAACCUUACCUGGCCUUGACAUCUGUCGAAUCCUGCAGAGAUGCGGGAGUGCCGCAAGGAACGACAAGACAGGUGCUGCAUGGCUGUCGUCAGCUCGUGUCGUGAGAUGUUGGGUUAAGUCCCGCAACGAGCGCAACCCUUGUCCCUAGUUGCCAGCACGUAAUGGUGGGAACUCUAGGGAGACUGCCGGUGACAAACCGGAGGAAGGUGGGGAUGACGUCAAGUCCUCAUGGCCCUUACGGCCAGGGCUACACACGUACUACAAUGGUCGGUACAGAGGGUUGCGAAGCCGCGAGGUGGAGCCAAUCCCAGAAAACCGAUCCCAGUCCGGAUCGGAGUCUGC
rnacentral:rRNA from 1 species